rnacentral:lncRNA from 1 species
CAUAUUUCCUUUCAUGCCCCCAGUGUAAGGCUGCGGGAGGGCAUAGUGACCCCUUUCCCUCCCACCUCUGGGUCGCUUCUCCCAUCCUGGCCCAAUUUCUCUUGAUUUCCACUCUUCCCCCCACUUCUUUAACCAAGUUUUGGAAAAGUUUCAGUUUUUCCAACCCAGGAUCGCCUUCUUGAAGCGUUAGCAAAGAAAGCCGGCCUUGGUGGCUCUCCUCUCCCUUUGUGGCUUCUUUAAAAUGAAACCUGAAGGGUCCCUCUCUCCUCCUUUGGGAGGGUGGAAUCGUGUUUUGCGAUUUGGUGGCGAAAUAAUGAAGGGUGUCGCCCCCCCUUCCUUCCCUUCUUUCUCUCUCUCUCUGUUUCUCUCUCAAUCUCUCUCCCCCCGCCGCCCAUCAGUUUUCCCUGCCAAGCCGUCUCUAUUGUAGAUCGCAUUGAUAAAAAGGAUGUUAUUGACUAUGCAAUAGUGGGCUCUCUCUCUCUCUCUCGCCUGUCCCCCCCUCUCCUCCUCCUCCUCCUCCUUUCUCUCUCUCUCUUUCUUCCCCAAUAAACUCCCGGUCCUGUCUUGUGGUGGUCACUGAAAAGGUGAAACGAAUAAGAUUAAAUCAGACUCGCUCCCACACUCACGCUCAGGCACACACACACACACACCAAGCUCUGUAUGUAUAUCCUCUCCGGACUGUGGAGAGACAGGGAGGGAGGAAGAAGAAGAAGAAGAAAAAGAGGCAGAGCAAGAGAGAGAGAGAGAUUGAGACAGGGAGGGAGAGCCUGGGAAAAGAAGGUACAGAGCCAGGCACCAGCUUCUUGUCAAGGCUUCUUCGGCGUCGGGAUGAUGCCUCCAGACGGCGCACCAGGCGACUGACUCUCGGCCCAUCCAUCCAAGGCAUGCAAGUCUAUGCUUCAAAUCUUGUCCCACUAGCCAAAAAAUGCCCACUGAAAAUGAGAAGAAUAUUCAUAAAUGUGUUACGGAAUCUACUCUCGAAGGAGGUGAGAUUAACCUAUCCCUGA